ACCACCCUAACUCCACCAAUAUGGCAGGUUAAAAUUUUGGGAAAAUCAUCUCCAAUAUAAACCCUUUCAAACAGCGUAUAUCAAUUUUUUCUGUUUGGGGGCAGUUUUUUUAUGCAUACCCUUUAUUUUCGAGUCUUAAGGUGAUUUGCAAUCAAAUAAUAAAUUUGCGAUUUGCAUAAAAUAUUUAGAAAGCAUAGCAAAGCAUAGAAAGUAGACAUAGUAAAAUGCUGUUUUUUUCUGGCGAGCCUUUGAAUAUAUGCGCGGUUCUAAGUUUUUACGCAUUAAAUUUUUCAUCUAUUAGGCACUUUAUGGAAAAUACGCCAUGGGUAAAUAUGCUUUAUUUUGUAUAUAAAAUGCAUGAUUUUACCCAUGUAAUAUAUAUGUAGACUAUCGGAAACUAACAAAAUUGCAAGAAAAAUGCAACAUAUUUAUCGCAGAUACUACUGAUCGGACUGCUAUUUUAAAUGCUUUUUUUUUACUUUGCACGAAGUUUUAUUUGAAAAUUUUAUUUACCGACUAGAAUAAAAUUGGUCCUGAGUACGAUAUUUUUUUAUUAUGUAGCAUUCGUCACUUCCUUGAUGCUUGGAAUCUUCCUAAAAAACUACCUGAGCUGCCGAUCCUUCUUUGCACAGGAAUCGCGUUCGUACACAUUCGAGUGAAAACAAGAAUGGUUUGUUCGCAUUCGUUCGAAAGUAUGUGCUCGUCGAAUAGAUACUGACGUAAGAAAGCAUAAUGAUACAAAAUCAUCGAAAAAACAAGUCAAAAAACAAAUGAUAUCAAAGAUUUUUAAUUACAACUCCAAACUGUAACAGAACUGAUAGUAUAAAGAUGGAUGGGCGUUGUUUUUAUGCAUAUACGAUGUUUAAAAGUGUGAUUGAUUCGAACGUAAACGGGAAUACGAAUUUUUAUACUUUCGAACGUAUCGCAUACGCAAUAAACAAGAAUGAGGGUGUUUAUGCCUGAACGCAUAAUGCUGGUAAUAGGCAACAAAUCGAUGUUAUAGGAAUGUACCAAUACCAUCUAUUGAUGUCUUUUAAACAGAAUUUCUGUAAUUUGAAAGCUCGAUUUACUUCAAACUUGAUUUGUUUUACGAAAAUAAACAAUUAUUCAUUUAAGGGUUAGGGCGACGACACGACCAGAAACUCUGAAGAAAAAUCGGAUUAAAAAGUGUUCGUGAGCGAUUUACCACCAGUUACCAUAAAUAUAGCGACCCCUUGAAAAUGUCAAAAACUAACUAUUCGAGCAACACUGUUUAAGUUGCUAUUAAAUAGUUACCAAGGAGCACCAGAAUAAAUAAACAAACAGUUUGAAAUAGUUGUGGAAUAAUUCCACCGAUUUGAAUUUUUGUAUCUUUUUUCCUGGAAGAAAAAAAUGGCCCCAGUACAACAAAAAUGGGAGUUUACGGAAUUUAUUGAUAUAGUUCUGAUAUGGGAAUGGGUCAUCCGUAUUUUCAUGAGCAAUUAUAGUUUAAAUCGUAAGGAUGCACUCUAUUUAAUAAACCAACAAGAACGACAGGCGAUCGAAAACGGAAAAAUUGAAAUUCCAAAUUUUAGUGGAAAUCUGGCUUAAUUCGCUAAGUCUUCCUUGAUACAGAAGCAAAUGAAAAACUAUCGUAAUACAUGUCCACUGAAUACCAAACGAAAUUAAGAAUAAAUUGAAGUUCAAAUCACUUUCGACUUCACGAAGACGCUAGUGUUAAUUUGGUGAUAUUCUUGAAUUAUUUACAAAAUAUGUAUAUUUUUAUGCUUUAAUAACUUUUACUUUUUAAUAAAAAUUAAAGAUACAAAUUAAAUCAAAAUUGAGCAAAAAUGACUCAAAACUUUCUGAAAGAAUAAACUUAAUACCUGCCAGCGGGCCAACUACACUCAGUGGUUUCGUUUUAAGUGAGACUCUUGUUUUUGUUUACAUUGCAUAUGUAGUUACCAAGGCUACUGGUAACUGUUUUUCAAAAUCAAUAAUUUACCAACUUGUGUUGCCAGUUCCAACAUUUUUUCAAGCGAUUUCGUUUUGACAUUACCAGUUACUGAGGGGUAGUUAAAUUUGCGAUACAGUUUUGAUAGUCGAGUGGCAGGUCGUGUCGUCGGUUAGGGUCUUGAGUGUUGCGUUUGAUGAAUGCUGUAUUGUAUAGGCUUUUGAUAAUUUGAUUUUGUACAGUGUAAAUAUUAGUCAGCAUGCGUACACUCAGAAAAAUCCUCACUUCAAAGCUACGUGAAAACGUAUGUGUUUUUUAUCCAUAGAACUUCUCUUGUAAUACUUAUGUGAAGUAUAGAUAGCACAGAAUGAACUCAUGAACUCUUAGUCACGUAAUAUCUACGUCACAUUUUUCGUAGAUUCUAUAGAAUACUUUUG